rnacentral:misc_RNA from 1 species
GGGAAGAUGAGAGAAUUGCAGCGUGGUGACCAUAGCCUAAGAGAAACUAAAAAAAUUUCGAAAGAUAAGUAGCUCACCUCUAUCUCCUAAGGGAAAAGGAUGUUGUGGAGGAAUCUUUAGGGGAGUUAGAGGCUAACUCAUAUUACUGAAGUUUAGGGGAGUUAGAGGCCAACUCAUAUUACUGAAGUAAAUGUUCUUAAUUGCUUGCAAAAGGAAAGAAAAUGGUAAGCAACAAAGGUGAAAAAGCCUAGGAAACCUACUGAGGAACCUAUUGGGGAGUUGAUUAAGGAACUAGUAGGGGAGCUAACCAAAGGUGCAUAAUGAAUCUUAAGGUACAUUCCCAGUGGUUUAUCUAAAAAUUCUUUAAUUGGCUUCCUAGCC